UCCUCAUGUCACCAUUACCCUAUUGCAUUGUCCUCUCAGCAGCCCUUGCCGCUAAUAACGAGCCUCAUUGAUGCCUUGGUAGAGAGGAGCGGGGCUAGAUCUUUAUUGUUGAGGAGUGGACAUCCCUAGAUUUGCAUCUCCACAGAGAGCCGGGACUAAUAGGUGGCACCUCCACCACUGUUUUUUCUUCGUGCCCGAUGGCAAUUGCAAUGCCAUAGCCCUAUCCAACCCCCCCCCCUACCAGCCUCCCCCACUAGGAGUCACCAAGACUCGAUCCCUAUCAUUUUGUGGUCGUUCAUUCCCCCCACCCUACCUCUACAAUUGAUCCCCACCAUGCAUUAGUGUCCGUUCGAUGUCGUCUUCGUCUCUAGCAUCACCACACUCCAAAGAGGGGCUCCUGGCCCAAGAUCAAUUUGUUGGAGCUUCUUCAUGUCAUCCUAUCUUCAUUGGAUGGUCUCCUCGAUCUACCUGCACAUCAUCGGAUUUGAAGGACAAGAUACCUCUUCUGCGGGCGGUCAUGGCAACGAUGGAAAGAGGAUGGUGUAUAGUGGGCAGCUGCCCACUACAAAAGUAAGGGUUGAAGGGCAAAUCCAAGCCUCAAGAUGUAGAUUGCUCAAGAUGGACCAAGGGGCCAUGGGCACCGCGAAGGUCAACGUCGUUAGGAUAUAUAUGCCAGGAACGGGAACCAAAUUUGGUCCAAGCAGUUCAUCAGCCAAUAAAGAAGAGGAUAGAAUUCUGUACUUCAAUUCCUUUUCCGAUGAAAGUUUUUGCCCCCUUUUUAUCUUCAUAUGAAAACUUUUAUUUAGCCACUUGAUACAAGAAACCAAUAUUAUUGUUGUUUGGCACUUUAUAUUACCACACAUGUGAUUGUUGCGAACA